rnacentral:rRNA from 1 species
GAUGAACGCUGGCGGCGUGCCUAAUACAUGCAAGUAGAACGCUGAAGGAAGGAGCUUGCUCUUUCCGGAUGAGUUGCGAACGGGUGAGUAACGCGUAGGUAACCUGCCUGGUAGCGGGGGAUAACUAUUGGAAACGAUAGCUAAUACCGCAUAACAGUAGAUGUUGCAUGAUAUCUACUUAAAAGGUGUAAUUGCACCACUACCAGAUGGACCUGCGUUGUAUUAGCUAGUUGGUGAGGUAACGGCUCACCAAGGCGACGAUACAUAGCCGACCUGAGAGGGUGAUCGGCCACACUGGGACUGAGACACGGCCCAGACUCCUACGGGAGGCAGCAGUAGGGAAUCUUCGGCAAUGGACGGGAGUCUGACCGAGCAAGGCCGCGUGAGUGAAGAAGGUUUUCGGAUCGUAGAGCUCUGUUGUCAGAGAAGAACGAGUGUGAGAGUGGAAAGUUCACACUGUGACGGUAUCUUACCAGAAAGGGACGGCUAACUACGUG